CCUCUCGUAGUUGAGUGGUAGAACAUUGAUGCGUAAAGCCAAAGGUCCCCGGGUUCGAUUCCUGGCGGGGGUG
rnacentral:tRNA from 1 species